rnacentral:rRNA from 1 species
GAUGAACGCUAGCGGCAGGCUUAAUACAUGCAAGUCGAGGGGCAGCAUGACUGUAGCAAUACAGUUGAUGGCGACCGGCAAACGGGUGUGGAACACGUACGCAACCUACCCAAAACUGAUGAAUAGCCCUCCGAAAGGAGGAUUAAUACAUCGUAACUUAAUGAAGUGGCAUCACUUUAUUAAUAUAGCUCCGGCGGUUUUGGAUGGGCGUGCGCCUGAUUAGGUAGUUGGCGGGGUAACGGCCCACCAAGCCUGCGAUCAGUAACUGGUGUGAGAGCACGACCAGUCACACGGGCACUGAGACACGGGCCCGACUCCUACGGGAGGCAGCAGUAAGGAAUAUUGGUCAAUGGACGCAAGUCUGAACCAGCCAUGCCGCGUGAAGGAUGAAGGUCCUCUGGAUUGUAAACUUCUUUUAUGUGGGACGAAACCUCUUAUUCUUAAGAGACUGACGGUACCAUAGGAAUAAGCACCGGCUAACUCCGUGC